UUGUGCUAGGCGGGGCGCUAGCGGUGCCCUCUUCCCGAAAUCCGCUAUAUGCGGGGCUGAAUCCCUUCUGAAGGGUUUUACUCUGAAAUUUGCAGUCAUUCUGACCGGCCGCCGCGCAACAGACGGUCGCGAACCUUGUCAGAUCCGGAAGGAAGCAGCAAUAAGUGAUGCGGUCUGUGUCGCGGAUCGAUCCCGGUCAUGUGAUGGCUCGUUUUUCAGAGAGAUUCGACAGGGGGUGCACAA
rnacentral:SRP_RNA from 1 species